rnacentral:lncRNA from 1 species
UUCUCUUGCUUCUCUCUCUCUCUAAAAAAACCUCUGCAUCGUCUCUCUCUAAAAACCCUAGUACGGUGGUCGAUGGCGGAUUGUGGUGGUUCUGAUGGUGAUGGUAGGUUUAGCGGUGGUGGGAGGGUGCGACGGUGAUGAUUGAUUUAGCGAUGACGGAGGUGUGCGGUGGUGGGUGGUGGAUUGAGGUGGGUGUGAAAGUGUUGAUGGGUGUACGAUGGUGGGUGAACGAUGGUUCUGAUGGUGGUGAGUGAAGGUUAGAUGUGGUGGUGGGUUAGGGGCGGCGGUGGUUUAGGGGCGGCGGUGGGUUAGGGCUAUAUUGGCUAGAGCUCAAGCAACAAAGAAAGGAAUUGCAUUGGUUUCUCAAGCUCUCAAAGAAAAUGGAGGAGUUGAGUUUUAGAUCUGAGUUGGAAAGGUGUUUGAUAAAGGAGAGAGUUCAGACAGAGAUGGGUAAGAGAGAGGGAGAGAGUUGUAAAUAUCAUUUUGGUUUAUUUUAUUAA